rnacentral:sRNA from 1 species
GCUAUUAUUUUUUUUAUAUAAAAUUUUAGCAUUGCUUCAGUGGAUUACGUGAGAACCGUCUCCGUGUAAACGAUGUGUAGUGAGCGUGCAGUGUGCAGUUGGUGUGUUGCCCUAGCGAAGGGCGUUUAUGCAACUAGAUCUGUUGGACUUUUGUUCUAUUUCCUUGUCUCACAUUGAAAUAUUAUAGUAAUGUUUUCUUGUAUUCUUGUAAUUCUAACAUUUGGAUUUAAACCACGAAUAAGAACUGUCUCGUUCGAGUGGCGACUAAAUGCCAAACGCAAUCUUUAGAGGCGAGCAUAAAGGAGGAUGGUGCUACUAAGGUGUCUCCAGGAAGUGUUUAAAAAGUAAAGUCCAGCGAGACUCAACUGGCUAAAAGGAAAACACGGGGCAGCUAAAUGACGUACACAAGAUACAGAGAGAGAGUGGUCUCUUCCAAAGGCUGCGCGAUCCACAAUUGAAACGAAAAGAAAGGCAGAGAACAUAAAUCGACCGCACGCAGACAAUGGUGUUGUCUACGUUGUUUGAGGCAAAAUAUUUAGGUCACAGCUUGGUUUAAAAUACCAAAAUCUUAGUAAUAGAGAAAUACUACUCCUCUGAUCUUUGGACUGGAUGAAAGACCUUAUUAUUAUUAGAUUUAAAUAGAAAAACAAAUCUUGGAGCAACAAAGUGAUUCGUUAGUGUUAGAGCUUAUAUUCUUUUGUAUCACAAUUAAAGAACAGCAAUUAAAAGGUAUUCUACGUACCUGUAGA